AUUGAACGCUGGCGGCAGGCCUAACACAUGCAAGUCGAACGGAGCGGCGGACGGGUGAGUAAUGCCUAGGAAUCUGCCUGGUAGUGGGGGAUAACGUCCGGAAACGGGCGCUAAUACCGCAUACUAUCAGAUGAGCCUCGGUCGGAUUAGCUAGUGGGUGGGGUAAAGGCAUACCACGGCGACGAUCCGUAACGGGUCUGAGAGGAUGAUCAGUCAAACUGGAAAUGAGACACGGUCCAGACUCCUACGGGAGGCAGCAGUGGGGAAUAGUGGACAAUGGGCGAAAGCCGGAUGCAGCCAUGCCGCGUGUGUGAAGAAGGUCUUCGGAUUGUAAAGCACUUUAAGUUGGGAGGCGUUACCAACAGAAUAAGCACCGGCUAACUUCGUGCCAGCAGCCGCGGUAAUAC
rnacentral:rRNA from 1 species